rnacentral:misc_RNA from 1 species
AAGUCGUAACAAGGUAACCGUAGGUGAACCUGCGGUUGGAUCAUUAUAAAAUUUAAAAUCCCUCCUUUGGGGGGGUAACCCACAUUGUGUGAACUUGUACACCGUCUCUGGCGGGGGAGGAAGGAGAUUGGAGGGAUCCCUCACGGGGGGCCUUUCCUUUUGCAAUUCUUCGUCAGCUCGGUUUGUCCCUUCAAAAGGUCGAAUCGGUGCCGUGGACAUCCCGCCAAACACUUCCCUUGGGAGAUCCUCUUUUGGGUCUCUCAUUGGAACUCUUGUGCUCAACUUUUGUAUCUGUCUUUUUGGGAAAUGCUUCUGAGAAUUCGACUGAGCAGAUGCUCGGUCACUUUUGAAAAAUACAAUUAUUCAAAACAACUUUUGGCAACGGAUCUCUUGGCUCUC